rnacentral:rRNA from 1 species
CCUGGCUCAGGAUGAACGCUAGCUACAGGCUUAACACAUGCAAGUCGAGGGGCAGCAUGAAUCAAGCUUGCUGAUUGAUGGCGACCGGCGCACGGGUGCGUAACACGUAUCCAAUCUACCCAUGGCUCAGGGAUAGCCUUUCGAAAGAAAGAUUAAUACCUGAUGGUUUCAUGAGCCCGCAUGGACUUAUGAAUAAAGAUUUAUCGGCGAUGGAUGAGGAUGCGUCCGAUUAGAUAGUAGGCGGGGUAACGGCCCACCUAGUCGACGAUCGGUAGGGGCUCUGAGAGGAGGAUCCCCCACAUUGGAACUGAGACACGGCCCAAACUCCUACGGGAGGCAGCAGUGAGGAAUAUUGGUCAAUGGGCGAGAGCCUGAACCAGCCAAGUAGCGUGAGGGAUGACUGCCCUAUGGGUUGUAAACCUCCUUUGUUUGGGAAUAAAGUGAGCCACGUGUGGCUUUUGUAUGUACCUUACGAAUAAGCAUCGGCUAAUUCCGUGCCAGCCGCGGC